rnacentral:tRNA from 1 species
GGGUCCGUGGUGUAGCCCGGUUAACACGUCUCCCUGUCACGGAGAAGAUCACCGGUUCAAAUCCGGCCGGACCCGCCA